GUUUUGAAAAACGUUCUUUUCUUGGGCCUUGUUGCUCACCAUGUAACAACAUCCUCUUACUUUUCCUGUGGUGGGAAAGUACCCUGUAGUACUAGCAAGGUGCACCCAGGUAGAGGACAACAGGAAUAGUUAUCCUACUUGCUCAGGCUUACAUUUUUACACAUGAAACAUAGUUUCUUUUACAUGUUUAUUUACUUAUUUGUUCUCAGGAAGACUGACGGGUGAUGUGAAAGGGACAUUAUGUUCUGAUAUCCUUCAGAUAGAGAAAUCCUAAAUUGCUGUUAAUUUCUUGUGCAUAUUCAGCUGCUGGAUUGCAUACAUCACAUCACUAGCAACCUGUGCAGAACGGCCAAGGGAUGGAGUAUGUGGCAUUGGGAACAGAGAUUGUCCUUGGAGAUUUCUGCUGUAUUCCCUGCAACUUCAGGACCUUCUUGCUCUUGAAAGUUGCAGUUUCAUAUUGGCUGCUGGACCAGUCCUGUAUGAUGUGCCACUUAUCAAUAAAAUGAAUUGGUUUCUCCAGGG
rnacentral:lncRNA from 1 species